CUACGGGAUGCAGCAGUGAGGAAUUUUGCGCAAUGGGGGAAACCCUGACGCAGCAACGCCGCGUGAGCGAAGAAGGCCUUCGGGUCGUAAAGCUCUGUCAAGUGGGAAAAAAAUUCUUUGAUGAACAGUCAAAGGACUUGAUGGUACCACUGGAGGAAGCACCGGCUAACUCCGUGCCAGCAGCCGCGGUAAUACGGAGGGUGCAAGCGUUGUUCGGAAUUACUGGGCGGAAAGAGCGUGUAGGCGGUUUGACAAGUCAGAUGUGAAAGCCCCGGGCUCAACCCGGGAAGUGCAUUUGAAACUGUUUCACUAGAGUAUGGGAGAGGAGAUUGGAAUUCCUGGUGUAGAGGUGAAAUUCGUAGAUAUCAGGAGGAACACCCGUGGCGAAGGCGAUUCUCUGGACCAAUACUGACGCUGAGACGCGAAAGCGUGGGGAGCAAACAGGAUUAGAUACCCCAGUAGUC
rnacentral:rRNA from 1 species